AACUGGGAAGAGCCCGCCCCCUCACUGAAGGAAACAGGGAAGUCAGUCUAAUCGCAUUUUUUUUUUUUUCUCAAAGUGACUUGUGACGAUGCCAGGCAGAGAGCGAAGUGAGUAGUCAAAGAAAACUCACCCUGGACAAACCGGCUGCUGGCAUCUCAGCUGCCGGGGUGGGAAGCGCCCUCUGCGGGAAUGAAGUCAUCCUACCCUUUUCUGGGUGCGCCCAGAUAACCGACCAGAGCGUUCCUUUCCCAAGCUCUGGGGCCUGAGGACUUCCAGCUACUCCACCAGGUUCUCAGGUCCUGGACUCCGUCCUAAUUCCUCACCUCCUACUGCGAGCCUUGCACAGGACGAGAGAAGCCCAGGAAUUUGAAGCCAGCCUUGCCAACACGUUGAGAUUUCCAAGAAGAAAAAAGCCACUUUGGACGAGUCAAGCCCAGUGGCCCACCCUCCUCCCUCUGGCUUUUGAUCUCCAGCUUCGUUCUGAC
ensembl:lncRNA